rnacentral:rRNA from 1 species
UAAUACGUAGGGUGCGAGCGUUGUCCGGAAUUAUUGGGCGUAAAGGGCUCGUAGGCGGUUUGUCGCGUCGGGAGUGAAAUCAUCUGGCUUAACUGGGUGCUUGCUUUCGAUACGGGCAGACUAGAGGUAUGCAGGGGAGAACGGAAUUCCUGGUGUAGCGGUGAAAUGCGCAGAUAUCAGGAGGAACACCGGUGGCGAAGGCGGUUCUCUGGGCAUGAUCUGACGCUGAGGAGCGAAAGUGUGGGGAGCGAACAGGAUUAGAUACCCUGGUAGUCCACACCGUAAACGUUGGGCGCUAGGUGUGGGAUCCAUUCCACGGGUUCCGUGCCGCAGCUAACGCAUUAAGCGCCCCGCCUGGGGAGUACGGCCGCAAGGCU